rnacentral:rRNA from 1 species
GACGUAGGGGGCCAGCGUUGUUCGGAAUGACUGGGUGUAAAGGGUUCGUAGGCGGUGCGGCAAGUUGGGAGUGGAAUCUCUGGGCUUAACCCAGAGGCUGCUUCCAAAACUGCUGUGCUUGAGUGUGGGAGAGGCGCGUGGAAUUGCAGGUGUAGCGGUGAAAUGCGUAGAUAUCUGCAGGAACACCCGUGGCGAAAGCGGCGCGCUGGACCACUACUGACGCUGAGGAGCGAAAGCUAGGGGAGCAAACAGG